rnacentral:rRNA from 1 species
AGUGAACGCUGGCGGUAGGCCUAACACAUGCAAGUCGAACGGCAGCACAGUAAGAGCUUGCUCUUACGGGUGGCGAGUGGCGGACGGGUGAGGAAUACAUCGGAAUCUACUUUUUCGUGGGGGAUAACGUAGGGAAACUUACGCUAAUACCGCAUACGACCUACGGGUGAAAGCAGGGGAUCUUCGGACCUUGCGCGAUUGAAUGAGCCGAUGUCGGAUUAGCUAGUUGGCGGGGUAAAGGCCCACCAAGGCGACGAUCCGUAGCUGGUCUGAGAGGAUGAUCAGCCACACUGGAACUGAGACACGGUCCAGACUCCUACGGGAGGCAACAGUGGGGAAUAUUGGACAAUGGGCGCAAGCCUGAUCCAGCCAUACCGCGUGGGUGAAGAAGGCCUUAGGGUUGUAAAGCCCUUUUGUUGGGAAAGAAAAGCAGCAGGUUAAUACCCCGCUGUUCUGACGUUACCCAAAGAAUAAGCACCGGCUAACUUCGUG